rnacentral:tRNA from 2 species
GGGGGUGUAGCUCAGUUGGUUAGAGUGCCGGCCUGUCACGCCGGAGGUCGCGAGUUCGAGUCUCGUCACUCCCGCCA